rnacentral:rRNA from 1 species
CCUACGGGCGGCAGCAGUGGGGAAUAUUGCACAAUGGGGGAAACCCUGAUGCAGCGACGCCGCGUGAGCGAAGAAGUAUUUCGGUAUGUAAAGCUCUAUCAGCAGGGAAGAAAAUGACGGUACCUGAGUAAGAAGCUCCGGCUAAAUACGUGCCAGCAGCCGCGGUAAUACGUAUGGAGCAAGCGUUAUCCGGAUUUACUGGGUGUAAAGGGAGCGUAGACGGUGGGCCAAGUCUGGAGUGAAAUGCCGCAGCUUAACUGCGGAACUGCUUUGGAAACUGGCCAACUAGAGUGCGGGAGGGGUAGGCGGAAUUCCGAGUGUAGCGGUGAAAUGCGUAGAUAUUAGGAGGAACACCGGUGGCGAAGGCGGCUUGCUGGACCGUAACUGACGUUGAGGCUCGAAAGCGUGGGGAGCAAACAGGAUUAGAUACCCCUGUAGUC